UACGGGGGGAGCAAGCGUUGUUCGGAUUUACUGGGCGUAAAGGGCGCGUAGGCGGCCUCCGCAAGUCAGUUGUGAAAUCUCCGAGCUUAACUCGGAAAGGUCAACUGAUACUGCGGGGCUAGAGUGCGGAAGGGGCAACUGGAAUUCUCGGUGUAGCGGUGAAAUGCGUAGAUAUCGAGAGGAACACCUGCGGCGAAGGCGGGUUGCUGGGCUGACACUGACGCUGAGGCGCGAAAGCUAGGGGAGCGAACGGG
rnacentral:rRNA from 1 species